CUGCUGCCUCCCGUAGGAGUCUGGUCCGUGUCUCAGUACCAGUGUGGGGGACCUUCCUCUCAGAACCCCUACGCAUCGUCGCCUCGGUGGGCCGUUACCCCGCCGACUAGCUAAUGCGCCGCAUGGCCAUCCGCAGCCGAUGAAUCUUUAACCGCCGAGGGAUGCCCCUCCGCGGUGUUACGCGGUAUUAGACGGAAUUUCUUCCGCUUAUCCCCCUGCUGCGGGCAGGUUCCAUACGUGUUACUCACCCGUGCGCCGGUCGCCGGCGGG
rnacentral:rRNA from 1 species